rnacentral:rRNA from 1 species
UACAGAGGGGGCGAGCGUUGUUCGGAAUUACUGGGCGUAAAGGGCGCGUAGGCGGCCAACUAAGUCAGACGUGAAAUCCCUCGGCUCAACCGGGGAACUGCGUCUGAUACUGGAUGGCUUGAAUUCGGGAGAGGGAUGCGGAAUUCCAGGUGUAGCGGUGAAAUGCGCAGAUAUCAGGAGGAACACCAAUGGCGAAGGCAGCUCGCUGGGACGUGACUGACGCUGAGACGCGAAAGCGUGGGGAGCAAACAGG